UUCUCAGCAGACCUGGGCCUAUGAGAUCUCAGCUACCAGCUUUAGCUCCGCAGUGAUGUAUUUAGUUUUCUCAUACCUCACAUCUGCAGCUUCUCCCAAACCCUUCCUUCUCUGUGCCUUUUUUAUAACGGGUGUGGAAGAGAAGAGCUGUCUCUUGAAUGAUGAAGCACAUCAUUUUACAUCAGCUCCACUGGCCAGCUGCCAGACAUGGUGGAAUCAAUCCUCUUCCACGAAGUCAUCUCUAAUUGCAAAGGUGGAGAGGGCAAUUUCAUUGCUACGCUGAUCUUGAC
ensembl:lncRNA